AGCGAACGCUGGCGGCAGGCCUAACACAUGCAAGUCGAACGAAGUCUUCGGACUUAGUGGCGGACGGGUGAGUAACACGUGGGAACGUACCUUUUGGUUCGGAACAACUCAGGGAAACUUGAGCUAAUACCGAAUGUGCCCUUCGGGGGAAAGAUUUGUCGCCAUUAGAGCGGCCCGCGUUAGAUUAGCUAGUUGGUGGG
rnacentral:rRNA from 1 species